UAGGGAAUCUUCGGCAAUGGACGAAAGUCUGACCGAGCAACGCCGCGUGAGUGAAGAAGGUUUUCGGAUCGUAAAACUCUGUUGUUAGAGAAGAACAAGGACGUUAGUAACUGAACGUCCCAUGACGGUAUCUAACCAGAGAGCCACGGCUAACUACGUGCCAGCAGCCGCGGUAAUACGUAGGUGGCAAGCGUUGUCCGGAUUUAUUGGGCGUAAAGCGAGCGCAGGCGGUUUCUUAAGUCUGAUGUGAAAGCCCCCGGCUCAACCGGGGAGGGUCAUUGGAAACUGGGAGACUUGAGUGCAGAAGAGGAGAGUGGAAUUCCAUGUGUAGCGGUGAAAUGCGUAGAUAUAUGGAGGAACACCAGUGGCGAAGGCGGCUCUCUGGUCUGUAACUGACGCUGAGGCUCGAAAGCGUGGGGAGCAAACAGG
rnacentral:rRNA from 1 species